rnacentral:rRNA from 1 species
GACGAACGCUGGCGGCGUGCUUAACACAUGCAAGUCGAACGAAGAGCGAUGGAAGCUUGCUUCUAUCAAUCUUAGUGGCGAACGGGUGAGUAACGCGUAAUCAACCUGCCCUUCAGAGGGGGACAACAGUUGGAAACGACUGCUAAUGCCGCAUACGAUCUGACCUCGGCAUCGAGGAUAGAUGAAAGGUGGCCUCUAUUUAUAAGCUAUCACUGAAGGAGGGGAUUGCGUCUGGUUAGCUAGUUGGAGGGGUAACGGCCCACCAAGGCGAUGAUCAGUAGCCGGUCUGAGAGGAUGAACGGCCACAUUGGGACUGAGACACGGCCCAGACUCCUACGGGAGGCAGCAGUGGGGAAUCUUCCGCAAUGGACGAAAGUCUGACGGAGCAACGCCGCGUGAGUGAUGACGGCCUUCGGGUUGUAAAGCUCUGUUAAUCGGGACGAAAGGCCUUCUUGCGAAUAGUUAGAAGGAUUGACGGUACCGGAAUAGAAAGCCACGGCUAACUACGUG